rnacentral:lncRNA from 1 species
GAAAAAAAGAAGGUAUCAGAUCUUCAUGUCAAAUAGUCAUUAGAAUUCAAAAACACGCUUCAAGUCUGCUAAAAAGUGAGAAUUUUUAUAUUGACACGUGCAUUGAUCUUGAGUAGGAAGACCUAGUGGGUGGCAAAAUAUUUUCCACAGCUGCUGAUUUCAGAAGUUUGAAUGAAGAUGCAGAUUCAUCUCCGAUGCCUUAUGAGGAGCCUGCAUCUGGCAGACAUGUACAAGAAUGUCAUAAACAACACUUCUCACCGCCACAUUAAACAGUAUGUUCAGUGACCAGCAGAGUGGAAAAUAGAUCUCAUCUUUCAUUCUAAAGAUAGUAUUUCCACAGGGCAGAAAAGAUGCUGUAAAACAUCAAAACAAUUAAAGAGGAUCUAACUUUCUUUUUCUUCCUUACCACUGUAGAAACAUGAAUGUUACUUCUCAUUUGUUAAACUUAUUACCCUGUUGCAGCACGUUAGUACAUAAAUUCAAGUUAAUAUCAGAG